GUGCCAGCAGCCGCGGUAAUACGUAGGUGGCAAGCGUUAUCCGGAAUUAUUGGGCGUAAAGCGCGCGUAGGCGGUUUUUUAAGUCUGAUGUGAAAGCCCACGGCUCAACCGUGGAGGGUCAUUGGAAACUGGAAAACUUGAGUGCAGAAGAGGAAAGUGGAAUUCCAUGUGUAGCGGUGAAAUGCGCAGAGAUAUGGAGGAACAACAGUGGCGAAGGCGACUUUCUGGCCUGUAACUGACGCUGAUGUGCGAAAGCGUGGGGAUCAAACAGGAUUAGA
rnacentral:rRNA from 1 species